UACACUUGUACACACAUAUUAAACGUGUACAUACACAUACACAGCACAUACUGAACUACCUUCGUCAUUGUCUUACAGGGGUCUUCUGUGGGGGGGUCCUUCCUGGCCCCAUGCUGCUGAAGAAUUCACAGAGUGCAACACUUCAUUUCUCCUCUGACGUUAGCCGAGGCGGGAGUGGCUUUGUCAUCAGGCAUCGUGCCGACCAGGGACGCUCUAGUCCUGGUGGGAAACACACUAUACAAAACACACAGACACAGACACACACAUCUCUGCAGGUAAUACUAAGGUGUACAGGACAGCAUGGCCACUUGUACUGAGUGCACACACUGUCCAUACAGGUCACACAGUGUUCCCCUCUGCCAUUGGCUCUCAGAGUAACCAGAUAGUGUGUAGGCACAUGUCCCAUGACACAAUGAUGAGCUGCACAAGACACUCACAGACACACUGUGUAGAGCUGCUGCUAAUGUGUCUUUUGUUUGUGUGUAUGUGUGAGUUUGUGUCCUGAACUGCUCCUGCAUGUGUAAUAAUGCUCGAUGUGCGUGUGUGGGUGUGUGUGUGUGUGUGUGUGUUUGUGUUCAUCAGGAUGCGGAAUAGUUGUGCUAGUUGAUGAUCUGACUUGUCCACAGUCCAAAUCACCCACAGUGCUACAGUAAUGACUGUGUCCUCCGCUGGUUGUCUAUGCUCCACAGGGACACGUUGUUAAGCUGGACUUUGCUGAUUUCGACCUGGAGGAGUCCGAUGGAUGCCUGUAUGACUCCCUCACUGUCCUGGGAGAUGUGGAGGGAACAGAGGAGAUUGGUAGGAUGAUGAAUCUCUGGGUGUCGGUUGAACACUCACUGCUUUGAUUAUGUCUUCUCUCUCUGUCCUCAUCGCAUUCUUUUCAGAUUCAAACACAUUGUAAUAUUAGCAGCAAUGAGAGGUUUAUGUUCUCCAUGUUUUGUAGUGGUGCUGUGUGGUGGCAGCGUUCCUCCUCCUGUCCUGUCCUACCACAGCGUCAUGGUGCUUCACUUCACCUCAGACGGCAGCAUCACACAUAGGGGCUUCAGUGCGACGCUGACAUUCAUCAGCCAUGCAGACCUUCAGAACCAGGACACAGGUGUGGAGAGUGGACCAGAGGGUCGGACAGAUCACACAGCCCAGCGGCACAUAACAACACAUGGUUGGUGGUCUGUUCAGUCUUUGAAUCCUCUUGGGACUCUUUUGCAUUUAGUGUGUUGACUUCAGGUUUGUGGAUUUAGAGAGAGGGCAGUGAAGAGAAUCCUGUGUCCCAGCGAAAUGUAAUGUAGUGAAGAAAGAGAACGAGUACCUCUCCUCACCUUGGGCAAGGCACCGACCACUCAGCUGCUGCAGUGGUGCCGUAGUGGUGAACAGCUCCCAAUGGCAAGCAUGGGGUUCAUCCAACUCUGAGUAAAUGAAGGACAUGUUCCUGCUUGUCUCCGGCUCCCUACAUGCACGUAACAGCACAACAAUGAUGAGGUGAAAUGUGGAGCAAGAAAUGAUUGUAUGGGCUACCUUGUAGUCUUCUGGUCUCUGUGUCGCUGUGUCAUGGGCUCAUCAAAGCAGCAAGAGUCUCUGGCAUGUAGAAUGGCAAUGAGACAUGUAACGCCAGAGUUACAGCUGAGGAAGUAGAAGAAUGACUCUCAGUUUAACCAGCAGUGUGAAGGUGAGAUGAGUCAAUGCUUUUGUUUUAAUCUUAUUGUUGUUCUUUUCUCUCCUCUAUCUUUAUCUCGCAAUUUUCUGAGAAAUAUGUCCUACGAACUAAAUACUGAGGUGCAAGCUGUUCACAAAAUGCUAGAGAAGUAUACAAGAAUCUCACAUUGUCACUGACUAACACAUUGUAGAUUUGACAGCUCACUUUUCUUUCCAACUACUUUAAAAGAGAAUUAAAGCACCAGCAGUAGAAUGACCGACAGUAUGCCACUGUUGUUUAGGCGUAUAUCAAUGCCUGGAGUGCUACGUCACUAUGAAAUCACUUGUCAUUUCAAAAGUAUUGUAUCCCAACAGGAAACUGGAGGAGAGAAAAUAGAUACCUUGCUUUAUUUAGGACGCUGUGUUGCGCUACUUGGAAAAAAAUACAUUUACAGCAUCACUAGUUGUGAAAAAAAACAAUUUGCAUAUACUGGUGUGUCUGUCUUCCACUUUGAAAAGGCCUUAGUAGUGGCGUACGCCUCCAGGCAUCGGUAUGUACUGCUGAACACAGUGACAUACCGUCUGCAACUUUUCAAUCUCGGUGCUGCUGCAGCAUUAAGUCGAGACGUGUGGUUCAGUGUUUAAAGGAACAGUUGAGCGGUGUGGGCGAUACAGAGAGAAGAUUGAUUCCUCUCAUCACUAAACUCUCAGCAAGAAAGUGUGAAAACUAUUUCCUUAAGAUCCACUGAUGAAACGGAACUUUUUAUGUUUAGUUGAUAUUAUAACAUUAGUACAAGUAAGUGUAACAAAUGUACUUAUUGGUAGUUUUGACAAUAGAAGUGCUAAGUGUGGGUUUAAUGUUCCACAAAUACUAAUUCAUUUCCAGCAAUAGAACCUCUGAAUAUUCCUUCAUCUCCAGAAAUGUAAAAUGUUCACAUUUAAAGGUAGUGGCACUAAACUCACUGUGCACAUACGCAGAACACAUAAGCUAAUGGUCAGCACAGAGUUUUCCCGGUUCACUUCCUGUACUGUGAGUUCUGUGUGUGUGUGUGUGUGUGUGUGUGUGUGUGUAUUUCCCCUCUUAACUGGUCCUGUUUGAAGAUUAUCAUGUAAACGACGAAGAGGAAGAGUUUGACCCGGGAUGUUUUUUGCAGUUUUAUUUUUGUAUGAUUUUUGUUUGAGUCCCUCUUUGAAUUAGGACUCAAAGUGGUUUAUAUACCACGUAACCUGCUACUGUUACCCGAUAACUCUUCCUGAUACUUUCUUCUUCAUCAGCCUCCUUCGUGAUACUUGCUCUUUUCUGCUGUCUGUUGUCGUGCUGCUUUGUGUGUCUCUGGUGUCUUGUCUCUUGGGGUCACCGUCUCCGUACCUGCCUCCUUUGGGACUGGGAUGCUGCUUUGCUGCAGUGUUUUUCAUCAUGUAUUUCUUCUUCCUAAACUGUGUAACCCAUCACAGGUUAGGUUGAAUAAACGCUGAGUCAUAUUCUGCCAGUAUACUAUCAAUGACAUUUAAAUUUAGAAACACCCGACCAAAAACACACGCCAUGCUAGAUGAAUGUAAACAUGAUGACGCACACAUUUUGUUCUACUACAGCAUUUGAUACAUGGAUUGUGAGGAAGGGUCUUUUAAAAGACUUAUGCAGAACUGCUUUGUGCAACUUUGAUCUGCCAGUGAAGCGGCUGCUAUUGGGAUGUUCAGUUACUUGAAACGUGCAUACAAAUAAUAAUCCAUGUGUGAGCCAAUGAGUUUUCCACCAGUAUUUAAAAUUCAAGCAACUUGCUAAAAAAGCAGUGAGAUUACUAUUUAGAGGUAGAUAUGGAUGUUACGCUCAUGCUUUCAUUUACAAAACCCUUUUUUCCUUUAGCCAACAUUCACAUGUUCCAUUCAAAGCAGCAAGAAGGAGUUAAAUGCUAACAGUAAGUUAACUCUUGAAGGUAGGGAGAUAUGACCAAUGUCUGACUAUCAACAGACAGCACAGCUGUAAUGAGCAUAAGCAAUGCUUAUGUUUGGGUUCGUCCAAAUUCAUUUAGUAAUCUACGAAAAACAAGAGCGAGGGUUAUAAUACAAACAGGCCACAAACCAUAGAAACAUAAUGGUUGUGUGUUGUACCAGCCUGUCAGAGUGCCAGUGAACGUAACACACACUGGACAUCCACCAGUAGAGAUCAGUGUCACAAGACACAGCAGCACGGCCAGUGUUAUGGCCACAAAGCCUUCCUGUUUGUUUCACUCUCAUUCCUCUUUAUCAAGAUCUUCAGCUCUGGAGAACUGUUGUGGUUUCACUGCCCAGUGGUUCAUUCCUGUUACUGUGGUUCCCAAACUUUAAAAAGACUUCUUGUCUCCUUGUGAUCUAUAUUCUCACGAGUGUUUUACUCAAAUACCUUUUAGACAUAUGAAGGAUGAAAAUGAUCGAAUAAUUAACAAAUGUGUUUUUUUUCUGCUUUCCUUAUUAAUCAUCUAACAGAUUUGUAAUGUUGCCUUAAACACCUUAAACAGGUUGGGAACCACUGCCCUCCAACACGUAUGCACUAACGUAAUGAUGACACAAGGGGUCAUCCAUGACAUGCUUGUGGUCUCUCAUGUUGUAUUGCACGUGAUUGUGCUAUUGCAAAAUGGGACUACAAUCUGAAUCCCUGUUGUACACCGACAAAUAAAACACCCUGUACCUUGUAUUACUCCUGCUAACAUCCACAACAUCAACCCUAUUAUGAUAGAAACAUGAGUUCCACUUGUUACAGGAGGUGACCUUCCAUCUUUCAGCAGAAAACUACAGAAAAGGGGAACUGUGCUGUACAGUAGACGGCCAUGCAUGUCUGUAGGUACGGGGCACCCUCUAGUGGCACUUUGUAGGAAUUGAAGGGAAAUCGGUGUUGAGUAACGUUACAUGAAUACACAUUAAAAACACAAAAGCUCUUUUAUGUGAGAAAUGUAGUAAAUAUAGCAGAAGUAUUGUAGAUUAUGGUGUGUCAUCCGUGUACUGUAGUGUUGAUGGAAUGACAUCAGAACUAUUCAUUCGACUUUCACUAAUGUGUGUGUUUAUUACGACUGGUCCUUUAGUCUUUGGUGCUCAUCUCUGCAGCAGCUCUCAGGAUCCGGACUCCAACACACCUUAUGGACCCUUUUCACCGCAGACAGCUGGAAAGCGGGUGUUAACACCAGUACAAUGUUGACUCAACAGAAUGGAGCCCUAGUUAAUGUCAUCUUUUACUUUUGGGCUUUUCCUGCUUUGAACAGGCUGCUCUGUGACAAGGACCUGAAACCUGCUCACCUAAUGGGAUGAUGUCAUUAAUCCCACUUCCUAUAUCUACAUGGAGUUCUGCAGGCAUCGGAGUAGUGUUCCUGCUGGGUGCUGAGCUGCAGUGGGUCUACUCCGUGGCAGCAGAUCAGUGCCUUGCUCAGGGGCACGUUGACAGGAGAUGUGAGAGAGAGUGCUACUGAUGAACUUGUGGCUGUUCUCUUGACAAACGUACAGAAAUAAGUUACAGUGAGCCAGUUCAUCAUUGCUGUCUCUCAGGGGAGUAUGUCCACCACUUUGGUCCAGACUGAAACAUUUUUGACAACUUUUGGAUGAUUGCAAUAAAAUGUUUAUUCACCCAUUCAUUGAAGUGUUUUGGUCAUAAAUUCAGUUUAAUAAAAGAAAUUCAAUAAAACAAGAAAGAAUCUCCAAGUAGGGUGAAAAGAAUCUUGACACCAAACUGGGUAAAGCUGCACUCGUAUGAAGAAUAGAGCAUGAGGUUGACGUGUAACUGAGUGAAAUGUCUACGCAGCUAUUGGAUGGAAAUGUAGUAAAAUGUUCAUUUAGCACCCUCAUCAGGUCAACUGUUAAUUAGUUUGAUACUCUAUGAUGAAACACCCUCAGAACUAAUGACGUCCCCAUAAUUAGCACAUGUUAGCAUGCCAAGAUGACAUCGUCAUUGCAGGCAUGUUAGCAAGCAGCAUGCCUGAGUCGCCUCACAGAGCCACUACUGAGACUCUUAGUUUUGCUUAUUUUCCUCUGAAACACCAAUAUACACGUGGCUCUAUUUUCUGUUGACCUGAUGAGCUCACUAUCACACAAUCCUUCCAUGUAUUUCUGCACUUGGAGCAUCAAAUGUAAACGUACCCCUGGUUGUGAAUCAGCCCAAAGCUGUGUGUGUGUGUGUGUGUGUGUGUGUGUGUGUGUGUGUGU